GACGAACGCUGGCGGCGUGCCUAAUACAUGCAAGUCGACCUUAGGGGCGAACGGGUGAGUAACACGUGGGUAACCUGCCCAUAAGAAGGGGAUAACAAUUGGACACAGGUGCUAAUACCGUAUAGUGAUGGAUGGACCCGCGGUGCAUUUGCGAGGUGGGAAGGUAACGGCUCACAAAGGCCACGAUGCAUAGCCGCGCUGAGAGGGUGAUCGGCCAUAUUGGGACGGAGACACUGCCCAAACUCCUACGGGAGGCAGCAGUAGUGAAUCUUCGGCAAUGGACGAAAGUCUGACCGAGCAACGCCGCGUGAGUGAAGAAGGUUUUCGGAUCGUAAAACUCUGUGGUUAGAGAAGCGGUAUCUAACCAGAAAGCCACGGCUAACUACGUGCCAGCAGCCGCGGUAAUUC
rnacentral:rRNA from 1 species